GUCAACGACCAUACUAUGUUGAAAACAGUGGGAUCUCGUCCGAUCACCGAAGUUCAGCAACAUUGGGCAUGGUUAGUUCUUAGGUGGGUGAUCGCUUGUGAGUGCCAUGUGCCGUUGGCA
rnacentral:rRNA from 1 species